ensembl:lncRNA
GAGAAGGUGACAGCGAUAAGACGUGGUUUUAUUGUUGUUGACAGACAUAUGUACAGUGAGACAAAACGAUGAGCGCAUCUGCAUCGAAGGUGAAGCCCUCAGAGUCGGUAGUUUGUAUCUGCGUCCUUUUUGUGCAAUACAUCCUGUAUCCAACUAAUGCAGAGUAUAUUCAAGUUGCAAACACACUGGUUGUGAAGUACCCUUUCCAGAGAAAUAUAAAAGGAAAUGACUGUGAAACUUGUGUUGAGGAGGAUUCAGUGUCUGUUGAGGCCCAUGUGAAUGUGCUACAAAGUGAGUAUCAGAAAACACACCUUGACUGUCAAAGACCACACAGCAGGAACAUUCUCCCGGAGACGUGGAAAAAGCACGGAAGGAAUGUCUGUGGAGGAUGUACUCAAACACACCCAUACUUAAGGACACCUGCUGGAGGGACCCUGCUUAACUCUUUCCUACCAUACAGCUGAUGGAUACUGACUGUAAAAUGGUAAUCAUAGGAGGAGGGCUCAGUGUGGUGACAGAAGAUGGAAUAGACGUGUGCCAGUGCACCAGCCUUGAUCAAGCCUUCAUACCAGCCUUCUGGAUGUAUUUUGCUUUCAAAAUUGCAUAUCCAACACACCUGAGAAAGACAAUGACUUUCCUUCAGAGGCACAUUGUCAACAUUAGAAGAUGGAGACAACACUGCCAGUAUCAUUGACUGGAAGUCUGUCAGUCCAGAUGUGAGGAAGACAUACAGAGUGGCUGUAGAUACUGUGGUCUUGGAAAGAAGGGGGUCUUCACAGCUUUCUAUUCAGACAAAGAGUUUGCUGGAUUCUGUUCUGUGGACUGCUACUACAGAAUGAAUGAAUGAAUGAAUAAGUGGUUUAUCUAUCUAUCUAUCUAUCUAUCUAUCUAUCUAUCUAUCUAUCUAUCUAUCUAUCUAUUUAUCUAUCUGUCUAUCCAUCUAUCUAUCUUUUACU